GGCGCCGGGGGGAGACGGGGGACGGCGUCCUGUGAGCCCCCCCCGGUACGCGCUGAUGCAGAGCUGCCAAAGAGACGUGAAACCAAACCCAACGAGAAAUCACUGAGGGGGGAAAAAGUGCAGGCUGAGAGGUAAAAUGAAAAACUGGCCUUUUGAGAGUAACUGCUGGGAACUGUGACAAACCAAGAGACCAGAGGAUUACUACACACAGCUCCUGCAGAUCCUCAUCUAAGGCAUCGGGUCAGCUGCGUAUCCCGAGGUGUCGGUUCAGCAGCCAAGGAUGGAAGUGCUACGCCGUUCCUCAGUCUUUGCUGCAGAGGUGAUGGAGGUUUUUGACAGGUCUCCCACUGACAAGGAGCUUGUGUCCCAAGCCAAGGCUCUCUGCAGAGACUACAUAAAUUCGAGGCUAAUUCGGGCGGGUGUCAGCUGGAGCAAACCUGAGUACAACGUCCCGGUGCCUGGCGGUAAGCUGGCCGAGGUGUCCACCAUACUGCUGCGACUAGGGGAUGAGCUGGAAUACAUUCGUCCCAACGUCUACCGGAACAUCGCCCGCCAGUUGAACAUCUCCCUGCACUCGGAGACGGUGGUGACAGACGCCUUCCUGGCAGUAGCUGCGCAGAUUUUCACUGCAGGCAUAACGUGGGGCAAAGUGGUGUCUCUCUAUGCUGUGGCAGCCGGGCUGGCCGUGGACUGUGUGCGACAUGCACAGCCAGCCAUGGUUCACACCAUCGUGGACUGCCUGGGGGAGUUUGUCCGCAAGACCUUGGUGACGUGGCUGAAAAGGAGAGGAGGCUGGGCAGACAUCACAAAAUGCGUGGUGAAUACUGACCCCAGCCUUCGCUCCCACUGGCUUGUGGCUGCUGUUUGCAGCUUUGGUCACUUCCUCAAGGCCAUCUUCUUCGUCCUGCUGCCCGAGAGAUGAGUCCCAGUUGCCAAGCGCAGUCCCCCACCCCAUCUCCUCCCCCACUCCAGAAGCAGUGGUGAUGGCGAUCUCUGAAGAUGAGGAAGAGGAGGACUGGACCAAACAGCUUGUUCUUCUCCCCCUUCAGCUGGGACCAGACGAUCAACCACAGUCUCCUUUUGCAGCCACAGGAUCCUCUCUCACCCUUAGUCCUUUCAAGAGCCUUGUUUCCCCGGGUGACUCGGGCGCCCUGAUUGCAGCUGCCUGCAGCGGGGCUGCCAGGCGUCUGUCCCUUCGGCCGUGUGGCAUGCGUCUGCUGGUGCCAGAGGGGAGGGGGAAGGGGGUAUUAUUUGAAAUGGGAUAGAAGAUAGGAGAGGGGGAGAGUCCCUCCUUUGCUCUACGUUAGUCCUCAGGCUUGCCUUGUGUUGGUUCUUGUCGUUACAUCUGUGCUUAAAGUCCAUCUCCUCCUUUAUACCUGACUGACUUGCCCACAGCAUGGUGGAGGAGAUAGAUAAUGCAGCUGUGGAUUUUUAACGUGAUUAAAAAAAACAAACAACAUACUGAUGUCAGAUGCUUCUCCCCAACACAUUUUGGAAACCGGGCUGAGUGGCUGUGAGAGGGGCAGGACUAGAGGGCAGCUGCAUGUCAUACCGUUCCCGGGUGUAUUUUGUUGGUCCCUCUUGCUGUGCUCACACGCAGUUUCAAACGGCAGCGCCUUCAAGCAACAACUGGGGACUGAAUUUCAUAACAAAGAAAAGUGUUUCUUCUGCUGAGAUUUUGUCAGAGGAAAGGAGCCAGAGGCAACUUCGGAGCUGCUGCUGCUCAAUCUGUGUCCAGGACUCCCUCGCGCAAGAGCAGUUUCUAUACGUGUCUCUGCUACGGGACUGAGAUGUGCCUACUGGGAAUGGGGGCCAGUGCCAGUCCCCUUGGCUCCAUGACCCGCUUUGGGACUGGGGAUACGUCAUAUGGUCAGCUGUCACCCCAACGGUAAUGGGAUAAAGGUGCAAGAGACCCAAGAAGAACUUGUCCAAGGGGCUUGCCCAGGUGCUGCCAUGUGGCAAACAAGUUACCCAUUACUGAAACAUUCAGAGCCCAAAAGUGGAAAUAGUAAGUUUUCUGUGUGAACUAAGGUGUAAUAAUCCUGCAAAAUCAAUGUCUUCUAAAGGCUUGACAGCUCAGGUCCAGCAUGGAGUGCCUCUGCAGCCGAUUUAUUCACUUGGGAAACUGGAAGCAAGGUGGGGGGAAGCACCAUGAAGACACGCUGUUAAGGAGGAAUUUGGGUGCCUGCAGCUGCUGCAGGCUCCCCGGGGGGCAAAUACCCGUUACUCCA